ensembl:rRNA 5S_rRNA 5S ribosomal RNA
GCUUACGGCCAUACCACCCUGAGAACGCCCGAUCUCGUCUGAUCUCGGAAGCUAAGCGGGGUCGGGCCUGGUCAGUACUUGGAUGGGAGACCGCCUGGGAAUACCAGGUGCUGUAAGCU